ACGAGAUUUUUAAUGAUCCGCAACGUGUCUGAUAUCAUUAAGAAUGGAUCAUGCGGCCAGGAAACUUCGAUUUAACUGUUUUAAGAGGCGUGGUGUCUGACUAUUUCCUCGGAAGGAAUUUUCUUUUUAGAGUAGUGUUUAAAAGGGAGAGCAAAAGUAGAUGGCUCAUCAAAUUUGACAAGUAAUUCAUCUUAGAACAUUCAUCUCAAAAUGAAACUCAUUAAGCUUCUGCUUGCUAUGGUUUUCGUGAUUGCCAUUUGCAGUGGUGGUCAGCAUCACCAUAACCAUCAUCUUGGAUACAUGUUGGCCGCAGGACUACUGGCAAAACUGAUGGGUGAAAAUCAUCAUCAUUGCGAGCACCAUCCGAUUCACAUACCAUUUCCUGUCCAUCAUCAUGGUCAUCAUUAGAAAAAAGUGACCUUCCUCUCCUUCUGCAGGAAUCUCUACCUCAAGGAAUAUUUUCUUUCUUGUGGAAAAUUAUAUUAAUCGUACUGUAAGAUGUUUAAAAAUUGUUCUGAUUGCAAUCCACAGUAAAUCACAGCAAUAUUUUCUUUCUUAUGGGAAAUUAUCUAACUCAUGCUAUGAGAUAUUUGAAAAAUUGUUCUGAUUGCAAUCCACAGUAAAUCACAGCAAUGUUUUCCUUCUCAUGGGAAAUUAUAUUACUCAUAUGUUUUUUUUUUCUCGUGUGAAAUUAUAUUACUCAUACUGUAAGUUGUUUAAAACAAUUGUUCUGAUUGUAAUCCAGACUAAAUCACAGCAAUAUUUUCUUUCACAUUGGAAAUUACAUUAUUCAUACUGUGAGAUGGUAAUAAAAAUUUAUUGAUUGCAAUUCACAGUAUAUCAACUUGAAACAUGGAUGUUAUUAAAAGAAUUGAACAGAUAUCGUAAUAAUCAUUAAACAAACUCAUGUUAUUGCUAAAUUGUCAUCACUAACUCAAAUCGGUUUUUACUAAAUUUCUCAACCUGUUACUAUUUUGGCAAAAUUUUUGAUAUUUUUAUGUACUCAUAAAUUACAAUAGAAAUCACUUUUUUGUAUAGAUAUUAGGUGUGUUAUUUUUUCGGUUUACUAUAAUAUUAUUAAAAUAAUAAUAUUAAGAUAAUGAAAUUGCUAUCUGGACAAUAAUUGUGUAUGACAGCCACGGCUGUAUUUCUACUUUGUACUUAUUAACAUCUAAUCAUAGCAAGAUUGAUUGUAUAAACAAUUCUAUUCGGGUUAUUCUGUGUUUGAGAAUUCACAAUACGCUUUUUCAUUAUGCACACAUGGUCUUGCCAUAUUUUCUUAUUAGCUUUGUCUAAUUUAACCAUAUUUGUUUGUAAUAAAAUUUGUAUUUUAUGAUCAA